GGCCCUUGUUCUUGGCCUCUCUUUCAGUCCGAAAAAAAAUGUCCUCUACCAUUGAGAAUUAGUGUGGCCUGCUGUCCCGAUUUUUCUAUAUUAUGUCUUUAUUUCGGUAAAUGGAUAGAGCAGUUGACAACACUCUGCACUAACGACCAGUGGAAGGGGAUGAGGAUGAGGAUGUGACUGACUGGUUAUUUGAGGAUGUUGACCAUAUAUCACCUCAACCAGCCCUGCUGUGAUACCUCAACCAGCCCUGCUGUGAUACCUCAACCAGCCCUGCUGUGAUACCUCAACCAGCCCUGCUGUGAUACCUCAACCAGCCCUGCUGUGAUACCUCAACCAGCCCUUCCGUCAGUUCAUGAUAUUCAUAGAUGCUGGCGGCGAUGGGAAAACUACUUUGAUGUCUUGACAUAAGGAUACCUCGGCUUUACCUUGUCCUCGAACCAUUGAUACCAUUUACACGCCUCUCAACGAAAUUGUCCGCCGACACCAAGACUCCGCCCAUCCUCGAAGUCUCGCUCUCUUCAAUUCAUCUUUUCGUAUUGAAUGUAAUUUUCAAUAAUGAAUAAACAAUAUCAUAAUAAACUUUGAAAACUAUAAGGGGGCCAAGGCUGGCACCAACUUAAAAAAUUCCCGUUGGGAAGAUUUCAACUUCUUGCUAAAAUGCUUGUACCUAUAUGGCCAAGGCUUUAAAACUGUAUGUAAAAACAGUAUGUAAAACCUCUUCUUCUGUAUCAUCUUUUCCAAUCAUGAAUA